rnacentral:lncRNA from 1 species
AGUGGUUAUCACAGUUGCGAUCUGCAGUCAGUCAGUUUGGAGUGACCAGUGAACCGGUUAGACAGAUUAUCUGUGGGGUACACAGAUUUUGUUGCCUGCAGAUUGUAGGAGCAUUAUGAAGUUGAUUCUUACUAAGCAUCAGCAGUUGUUGUUUAAUGCGCACUGGCAAGAUUAUUGUCAAGAAAGUGUAAAUGUGCAAAGGCAGGCAGGUGAUCCACUGCAUAGAUUAACUUUGGAAGAACUUCUGGGAUUAGGAGCAUAUAGUCAAGUGGAGGCACAAGCUGUUUUGGGACCAGAUAAAUUGAAAGAAGGAAUGCGAUUGGCACGAGCUGCGUUUGAUCGGAUUAAGGAGCCAGGAGGAAUUCCAUCUUAUAUGGGUAUUAAACAGGGGCGAGAUGAGUCAUUUGGAGCAUUUAUUGAUAAAGCGGCUACAGCUAUAGAACGGGCAGGUGUUCCUGAAUAUAUGAGGGGAGCAUUAUUAAAACAAUGUGCCUUACAAAAUUGUAAUCCAGCAACCAAGUCAAUUUUAAAUUCCCUAAGUGCUAAUUGGACUAUUGAGGAGGCAUUAGAGAGAAUGUCUAAUAUACCAGUGGGUUCACAGGCAAUGUUCGUCCAAGCAAUUAAAGAACUAGGGCAAGGGUUAGAAAAGCAGGCUGCAUCUACUCAGAGUCAGGUUUUAGCAGCUCUUGCACCCCUACAAGUGGCUACAACUAACAAUGGCAGGAUUCCAGCCUCUCGAUUCAAAUGUUUUCGCUGUGGCAACCUUGGACAUAUUCAAAAGGAAUGUACUGUAUUGUCUGUUUGGUGCAAUCAGUGUCGGUCCAAUACCCACGCUGAUAAUGUCUGCCGCUGGCGAUCGGGAAAUGGGAAAGCCAGCGUGAGAAGCCGCCGCGCCAGGACACAAAUAGCAGCUGCUGGAACAUCAGUGCAACUUCCCUCCAGCCUGCUACAGCAGGAAGCCUCGGUCUGGACCUGGCAGCCUCAGUGACUGUGGAUUUAUUGACAUCACAGCCCUACAAGAUUCCCACGGGAAUUAUUGGACCACUGAUAAUAAAUGGAAAAGCUAUGGGUGCA